rnacentral:rRNA from 1 species
AUGGCAUCUCUUGAGCUCGACUCUACCCUAGUCCUCUGCCUCCUUUUCGUGGUAUCUUGCUUCACCAUCGUCCUCAGAGGCUUCGGAUAUGGCCGAAAGGGCACGCAGCCGCCUUCGCCGCCUGGGUUGCCCAUCAUCGGCAACCUGCACCAGCUCGGGCGGGGCCGUCCUCACCGGACUCUGGAGGCUCUUGCGCGGCGCCACGGCCCGCUCCUCCUCCUCCGCCUCGGCUCCGUGCGGGCCAUCGUGGUCUCCUCGGCCUCGCUCGCCGAGGCGGUGCUGAGGACCCAGGACAACGUCUUCUGCAGCCGCCCGCAGCAGUACACGGCCCGCGGCACGCUCUACGGCUGCCGGGACGUCGGCUUCAGCGCCUACAACGAGCGGUGGCGCCAGCUCCGCCGCAUCGCCGUGGUGCACCUCCUCAGCAUGAAGCGGGUCGACUCCUUCCGCGCUCUCCGGGAGGAGGAGGUCGCGCGCUUCGUGGGACGGGUCCGCGCGGCGAGUGGGAGUGGCGCGCACGAGGGGCGUCGGGGAAUCAACGUGACGGAGCUCAUCAUCACCUUAACCUACACCGUGAUCUCCAGGGCUGCGUUCGGGAACAAGCUUGGUGGGGUGGAGCCGGUCAAGGUCCGCGACAUGAUGAAGGAGCUCACUGACCUGCUCGGCACGAUAGCCGUGAGCGACGUUUUUCCGAGACUAGGGUGGCUGGUGGACUGGGCGACGGGGCUCCAAGCGAGGGUGAAGAGGACGGCGGCCGAGCUCGACAGUAUAAUGGAGAGGACGAUCACGGAGCACGAGGGGGACCCAGGAAAGGACGACGGCGAGGCUCCGGACCUCCUGGACGACUUGCUCUUGAUCGCCAAGGAUGGUGACCAGGGGUUUAAGCUGGAUCGGAUCGAUGUGAAGGGAGUCAUCUUGGACAUGUUCAUAGCAGGCACCGACACGACCUACAAGACGAUAGAAUGGACCUUGGCCGAGCUCAUGAAGAAUCCAAGAGAAAUGGCAAAGGUGCAAUCAGAGGUGAGACAGGUUGCUGCAGGCGCGCAUGGAGGAGUCCUCGAGGAGGAGCUGGAAAAGAUGAACCUCCUACAGGCGGCCAUGAAGGAAACAUUGCGGUUACACCCGCCGGUGCCGCUCCUCAUCCCACGCGAAUCCAUUCAGGAUGCACAGCUACACGGCUAUGACAUCCCGGCCAAGACCCGGGUCAUGGUCAACACGUGGGCCAUAGGGAGGGACGGCGAGUCGUGGGAGAACGCCGAAGAGUUCCGGCCAGAAAGGUUCCUCGGCAGGACCAUCGACUACAAUGGCAAGGACCCUCGGUUCCUACCGUUCGGCGCGGGAAGGAGGGGGUGCCCCGGUAUUGCCUUUGGGACACGCCUCGCAGAGCUCACGCUGGCUAACAUGAUGUACCAUUUCGACUGGGAGCUACCGGAUGGCGAGGAUCCCGAGUCAUUUGAGGUUGUUGAGUCCAGUGGCUUGUCGCCUGGCCUUAAGUCUGCCUUGAUCCUUGGUAUAAAACCUCUGUAA